CGACUCUCGGCAACGGAUAUCUCGGCUCU
rnacentral:ncRNA from 2 species